rnacentral:rRNA from 1 species
AGUGAACGCUGGCGGUAGGCCUAACACAUGCAAGUCGAACGGCAGCACAGUAAGAGCUUGCUCUUACGGGUGGCGAGUGGCGGACGGGUGAGGAAUACAUCGGAAUCUACUUUUUCGUGGGGGAUAACGUAGGGAAACUUACGCUAAUACCGCAUACGACCUACGGGUGAAAGCAGGGGAUCUUCGGACCUUGCGCGAUUGAAUGAGCCGAUGUCGGAUUAGCUAGUUGGCGGGGUAAAGGCCCACCAAGGCGACGAUCCGUAGCUGGUCUGAGAGGAUGAUCAGCCACACUGGAACUGAGACACGGUACAGACUACUACGGGAGGCAGCAGUGGGGAAUAUUGGACAAUGGGCGCAAGCCUGAUCCAGCCAUACCGCGUGGGUGAAGAAGGCCUUCGGGUUGUAAAGCCCUUUUGUUGGGAAAGAAAAGCAGCAGGUUAAUACCCCGCUGUUCUGACGGUACCCAAAGAAUAAGCACCGGCUAACUUCGUG